UAAGGAGGGGGAGAGCGUUAUUCGGAAUUAUUGGGCGUAAAGGGCGCGUAGGAGGCUGGGCAAGUCCAAGGUGAAAUCCCUCGGCUCAACCGAGGAAGUGCCUUGGAAACUGCCCGGCUUGAGGCCGGGAGAGGGUAGUGGAAUUCCCAGUGUAGCGGUGAAAUGCGUAGAUAUUGGGAGGAACACCGGUGGCGAAGGCGGCUACCUGGACCGGUUCUGACGCUGAGGCGCGAAAGCGUGGGGAGCAAACAGG
rnacentral:rRNA from 1 species